CCUACCUUGACCUCCCGCACAUGGUGGCUGCCUGCCGCUGCUCCAGGCCUCCAAACGGAGCAGAACACAACCCUUCUUCCCCGACAUGUAGCUCUUGCCUUGCAUUGCCCAAACUUGCAGCUUGCUGAGAUGUGAACCGUAGCACCUCUCCUGCUCAUCCCCGGCAGGCUGCUCAUCUUGGACAAGGGCGAGGUGGCAGAUCUGCUGCUAACGCUUCUCUGCCCUGACGAUAACCGGGGCGAUGAAAGAUGCGCCGAUGGUGAGGAUGGGCAACAAUGGUUUCAGGAGCCACGCCUUCCCUUCUGCCACCAUUUACUGUAAAAUCGGAGCUGUUUUGGCUGCUGCUGCCCAUUGUGCAUCACAAUAGACAGUCACGUGCAUACAUACAGGCCGGAGCACGGAGUGGCUGGAGCUAGGCGAAGGGAGCAGCGCCGCUUUACCUACUGUGGCAGUGGU